CAAAGUAUAGUUUAAAUUAAAAUAUCAAUUUUGGAGAUUGAUGAUAAAAGUAUCUUUUACUUUGA
rnacentral:tRNA from 1 species